AGCAGUGGGGGAAUAUUGCACAAUGGGCGCAAGCCUGAUGCAGCCAUGCCGCGUGUAUGAAGAAGGCCUUCGGGUUGUAAAGUACUUUCAGCAGUGAGGAAGGUGGGAUAUGUUAAUAGCAUAUUCAUUUGACGUUAGCUGCAGAAGAAAGCACCGGCUAACUCCGUGCCAGCAGCCGCGGUAAUACGGAGGGUGCGAGCGUUAAUCGGAAUUACUGGGCGUAAAGCGCAUGCAGGUGGUUUGUUAAGUCAGAUGUGAAAGCCCGGGGCGUCAACCUCGGAAUUGCAUUUGAAACUGGCAAACUAGAGUACUGUAGAGGGGGGUAGGAAUUUCAGGUGUAGCGGUGAAAUGCGUAGAGAUCUGAAGGAAUACCGGUGGCGAAGGCGGCCCCCUGGACAGAUACUGACACUCAGAUGCGAAAGCGUGGGGAGCAAACAGGAUUAGAUACCCUGGUAG
rnacentral:rRNA from 1 species